rnacentral:other from 1 species
GUUUUUUAUAAGUAAUUGCAAUACUUCCAGAUCAACGGCAGUCUUCAUACUGAAACUGCUUAUAUUACUCAAAAAGAAUUAGGAUAUUAUUAUGUCUACUACAACUACUGGUACAGUAAAAUGGUUUAACGAAGCUAAAGGUUUCGGUUUCAUCGCUCAAGAAAAUGGUCCUGACGUGUUCGCUCACUUCGGUAACAUCGUUGGUGAAGGUUUCAAAACUUUAGCUGAAGGCCAAAAAGUUGAGUUCAUCGUAACUCAAGGUCAAAAAGGUCCUCAAGCUGAGAAAAUCGUAGCUCUUUAAUUGCUAACGAUUUAGUUAACACUCGUUAACUGACUAAUU